UGGGGAAUAUUGGACAAUGGGCGCAAGCCUGAUCCAGCCAUGCCGCGUGAGUGAUGACGGCCUUAGGGUUGUAAAGCUCUUUCACCCACGACGAUAAUGACGGUAGUGGGAGAAGAAGCCCCGGCUAACUUCGUGCCAGCAGCCGCGGUAAUACGAAGGGGGCUAGCGUUGUUCGGAAUUACUGGGCGUAAAGCGUACGUAGGCGGACCGUUAAGUCAGAGGUGAAAUCCCGGAGCUCAACUUCGGAAUUGCCUUUGAUACUGGCGGGCUUGAGUCCGGGAGAGGUGAGUGGAACUGCUAGUGUAGAGGUGAAAUUCGUAGAUAUUAGCAAGAACACCAGUGGCGAAGGCGGCUCACUGGCCCGGUACUGACGCUGAGGUACGAAAGCGUGGGGAGCAAACA
rnacentral:rRNA from 1 species